rnacentral:rRNA from 1 species
AGAGUUUGAUCCUGGCUCAGGACGAACGCUGGCGGCGUGCUUAACACAUGCAAGUCUAAGGAGAAAGUUCCUUCGGGAGCGAGUAAACUGGCGAACGGGUGAGUAACGCGUAGGUAACCUGCCCUUAAGCUCGGGAUAACCCACCGAAAGGUGAGCUAAUACCGGAUAAUAUCUUUCCUCAUAAGGGGUAAAGAUCAAAGGUGGCUUCGGCUAUCACUUAUGGAUGGGCCUGCGUCUGAUUAGCUAGUUGGUAGGGUAACGGUCUACCAAGGCAAUGAUCAGUAGCUGGUCUGAGAGGGCGAUCAGCCACAUUGGGACUGAGAUACGGCCCAGACUCCUACGGGAGGCAGCAGUGGGGAAUUUUGCGCAAUGAGCGAAAGCUUGACGCAGCAACGCCGCGUGAUCGAAGAAGCUCUGCGGAGUGUAAAGAUCUGUCAUAGGGGAAGAUAAGUCCCGUUAUUAACACCAUCGGGAUGUGACGGUACCCUAUAAGAAAGCCCCGGCUAACUUCGUGCCAGCAGCCGCGGUAAUACGAGGGGGGCAAGCGUUGUCCGGAUUUAUUGGGCGUAAAGAGUUCGUAGGCUGGUUGGUCAGUCGAAAUUGAAAUCCCACGGCUUAACCGUGGACCCGGUUUUGAUACUGCCAAUCUUGAGUGAGGUAGAGGUAAGCGGAAUUCCUGGUGUAGCGGUGAAAUGCGUAGAUAUCAGGAGGAACACCAAAGGCGAAGGCAGCUUACUGGACCUAUACUGACGCUGAGGAACGAAAGCGUGGGGAGCAAACAGGAUUAGAGACCCUGGUAGUCCACGCCGUAAACGAUGAGUACUUGGUGGUGGGGGAUUCGACCCCUUCACUGUCGGAGCUAACGCGUUAAGUACUCCGCCUGGGAACUACGACCGCAAGGUUAAAACUCAAAUGAAUUGACGGGGACCCGCACAAGCGGUGGAGCAUGUGGUUUAAUUCGACGCUACGCGCAGAACCUUACCUGGGUUAAAUCCACCAGAAUCUAGCGUAAUUGCUGGAGUGCCCUUCGGGGAAUUGGUGCGAAGGUGCUGCAUGGCUGUCGUCAGCUCGUGUCGUGAGAUGUUGGGUUAAGUCCCGCAACGAGCGCAACCCUUGCCGUCUGUUGCCAUCAUUAAGUUGGGAACUCAGACGGGACUGCCGGCCUAAACCGGAGGAAGGUGGGGAUGACGUCAAGUCCUCAUGGCCCUUAUGCCCAGGGCUACACACGUGCUACAAUGGUAGGUACAAUGUGCUGCGAACUUGCGAGAGUGAGCUAAACACAAAAAACCUGCCUCAGUUCGGAUUGGAGUCUGCAACUCGACUCCAUGAAGCUGGAAUCGCUAGUAAUCGGAGAUCAGCACGCUCCGGUGAAUACGUUCCCGGGCCUUGUACACACCGCCCGUCACACCAUGGGAGUCGACUGCUCCAGAAGUAGGUAGCCUAACCCCCCUUUUCGAAGAGGGGAGGGCGCUUACCAAGGAGUGUUCGGUGACUGGGGUGAAGUCGUAACAAGGUAACC